ACAAAACAGCCCUAAUUCUUUUUCCCUCUUUUUGCCCAACCGCUCUGUCUCUCGCCCAGUGGUGCUCUCUCUCGACCAGUACCUCACCACACUCUCUCUCGCCGCCUCCUUCAGCAUCAACUGCCGAAUCUCUGUCUGCAGUCCAGGUAAUUAAGAAAUCCCCCAAACACAACCGCUCUCUCUCACCACUCUCUCUCGCCCAGUACCUCACCACUCUCUCUCUCGCUGCCUCCUUCAGCAUCAACUGCCGAAUCUCUGUCUGCAGUCCAGAUGCGCUCAGUUUCUCUGGAGCUUGAGAUUCUUGGCAGGCAUCAGCACCCUGAAUUAACGAUUCCCUUUUUAAAGGCACGCAGCAGCAGCGUUUCUAGUUUGAAAUCGGUUUCUUUUUCCAUUACUGGGAAUCGCUUCCCAUCUCUAACUUCAAGACCUGGACCCUUUCAAGUUUCCUAGUCGAGAACACCAUCCAUUAUUUGAAAAGACUACUCAUCUUCAAGUCAGCAGUGACGGAUUUGGAGUUAAUUUUGGAAAUCCAAAGCCAAGAGCUUGAUAUUACCGGAAAACUUGCAUCUCACAAUGGAUAAGAGUUGGAUAAACUUAGGCAACAGAUGGUCAAAGAGGGUUAUUGAUGGUUAUGAAGACUUUUUGAAGUUUGCAUACACCAAUAAGAAUGAAAGUGAACUAAUAAGCUGUCCAUGUAGAAAAUGUUGCAAUCGGCCCAUUUAUUUGCC